AGGACUUUCAGAAACUGUGUAGGUUCCCUGGUUGAACUUGAGGGACAAAGUUUUUAAGCCAUUACUAUAGAACUAAGAAUACAUUUAUAAUCACAAUUAUACUUCCAAUUCAACUUGUUUUAACAUAUUAUUCAGGUAAUGUCUAGAGCUCUUUUCAAUACUAACUCUUGUGGUAGAGAAGGACUGGUAACAUUUUAAUUUUCCAAAUGGGCCCAAGUAAUUCCACUGUAGGAGUUAUUUGAAUAAGUAAUUAUAAUUAAUUCUGACAAAAUUCUUAAUUUAACCAAACUUAUGGAGUCAUAUUCUUAUGCCUUAAUGUAGGUCUCUCAGGUUAAUCGUAACUAACACAAAUAAAUAAUUGUAGAAAAUAGCAUGCAUGAAAAUACAAAAUGCAUUAAUGAUAAUACUUCAAAUUGAAUCAUGCCUAAUUUAAAUGCAGAACAGGAAACUAAUGAAUAAAUUCUAGAAAUGAAAGCUGCAAAAGUAUUUUUAUUGGCUAUUCUAGCACAAUAGCAAAAAUUAUCUUUGCAAAAGGGUUGCCCUUUCAUUAAUAGACAAAAUAAUUAGACUAAAAUCUAUUGAUAAAAUACUCAGGCUGCAUAUGAGUCUGGUAUAAUAGUACUUUUAUACAUACAUCCAUAGACCUGUGAAAUCAAAAGUUCUAAUGUACAAAAUGUACUUUAGCAUUUAAAUAAAAUAGAGGUAAUUCUUCACUUCACACGGAGGAAAGCAGGAGAUAUAUUCCUGGCUUAGCAGAAAAGAAAGAAUAAUAUUUUGUUCUCUUCUACCCACCUUCCCCAUCUCUCUCUGUUUCUCUCACUCUCUCUCUCUCUCUCUCUCUCUCUCUCUCUCUCUCUCUCUCUCUCUCUCUCUCUCUCUCUUUCUCUCAGUUAAACUUUCAUUUACCUUUGAGAAAACUCAGCAAAUUUAAAGGAGAAAAAUUAAACUCUUGCAACUUAGAAGUCCUUAUUCAUCUUUUUCAAUUAAAGUGUAUGCCCAAAGGCAAUUGUAUAAAAGUUCUACCAAUUGAGAUUCGUUUAUUUUGGCUAAAAGUAACUCUUUUAAAUGAAACUGUCUCUCAGAGAAUGAAAACAUUAAGCCAGGAUGGGAAAGAGGACAGAAGGAGGAUGAGAAUUUUGAACUGAUGAAAUAAAAUCUUGAAAAUUCAAAAAAGUUGGGUAGGG
rnacentral:lncRNA from 1 species